rnacentral:rRNA from 1 species
ACCCCGAGGAAAAGAAAUCAACCGAGAUUCCCCCAGUAGCGGCGAGCGAACGGGGAGCAGCCCAGAGCCUGAAUCAGUGUGUGUGUUAGUGGAAGCGUCUGGAAAGGCGCGCGAUACAGGGUGACAGUCCCGUACACAAAAAUGCACAUACUGUGAGCUCGAUGAGUAGGGCGGGACACGUGGUAUCCUGUCUGAAUAUGGGGGGACCAUCCUCCAAGGCUAAAUACUCCUGACUGACCGAUAGUGAACCAGUACCGUGAGGGAAAGGCGA